UCAGAAUGAAAAUGAUCACAGAUGAAACGGUGAUCUGUGGUCAGAUAACUGAGCCCAAAGUAUUUCUGGCGCGUUAAGCUUAUCACCUGCUUACUUCUUAGCAGUGUGAUAAAACCCAUGUGCCAACAGAA